CGAAAGUUAGAGGUUCGAAGGCGAUCAGAUACCGCCCUAGUUCUAACCAUAAACGAUGCCAACCAGCGAUCCGCCUGAGUUCCUCAAAUGACUCGGCGGGCAGCUUCCGGGAAACCAAAGUGUUUGGGUUCCGGGGGAAGUAUGGUUGCAAAGCUGAAACUUAAAGGAAUUGACGGAAGGGCACCACCAGGAGUGGAGCCUGCGGCUUAAUUUGACUCAACACGGGAAAACUUACCCGGCCCGGACACUGGAAGGAUUGACAGAUUAAGAGCUCUUUCUUGAUUCAGUGGGUGGUGGUGCAUGGCCAUUCUUAGUUGGUGGAGCGAUUUGUCUGGUUAAUUCCGAUAACGAACGAGACUCUAGCCUACUAAAUAGGCGUUCCGAUCCUUUAUGUCGGACGUUCUUCUUAGAGGGACAAGCGGCUUUUAGCCGCACGAGACAGAGCAAUAACAGGUCUGUGAUGCCCUUAGAUGUCCGGGGCCGCACGCGCGCUACACUGAAGGAAUCAGCGUGUGCUUUCCCUGUCUGGUAGGACUGGGUAACCCGUUAAACCUCCUUCGUGAUAGGGAUAGGGGCUUGUAAUUCUUCCCCUUGAACGAGGAAUUCCCAGUAAGCACGAGUCAUAAGCUCGUGUUGAUUACGUCCCUGCCCUUUGUACACACCGCCCGUCGCUACUACCGAUUGAAUGAUUUAGUGAGGUCUUCGGACUGGCGCUCGUAGCGACCUUUGGCCGCGCCGACGUGCCGGAAAGAU
rnacentral:rRNA from 1 species